ensembl:lncRNA
CUAGAGUGACAUCUGCUGGCUUGAAAAAAAUAACCUGUAGGACUCCCUCCCAGCUAUAACCUCUAUAAACCGUUCAGUUGUAAAACAUAUCAGUUUAAAUGCAAGAUGAAGAUUGAAACAGAUUUUUUUGUAAGUGUUUUUUCCUUUUUUUAGAAGUCUAAAUUAAAGGGUAAUAACAACUGAAGCAGACCUAUUCAGCUUUGUUUCCCAGUUGGCUGAAGUUAAUAAUUCCUCUUUCGUUUCUUCCCUCACUUCUCUUGUUGUCUUUUUCUUCUUUAACUUUUAUGUCCUUUCUUGCACUGAGUUUCGUUCUGCUUUUGCCUCAUUUCUGUAAGCAUCUUCUCUCCUUCUAUCAUUUUUUCCUCUUCCACUGUUUCCAACUCCUUUGUGUAUUUACAGUUCUCUUUUCCUGACUCACUGUCUUUUCAUUGACCUCUUCCUCCCGACCUACUUCCAUCCCUGAUUCCUUUUAACCUCGUCAUUUUCUAAUCUUUUUAAAAAAAGUUCCUACAGCUCUUCUUCUUUCCUUUCUGCUUUCUUCUUACUCAUCCUUCCACCUUGCUUUUAUCAUCCUAUUCUCUGCUUUUUGUCCCCUUACAUUUUACAUACUUCCUUGUUGUAUUGUCUUCCCAUGACCUCUUCAUUUGCAUCCCUUUAUCAUCUUUUUUCCUGUUCCUGUUCAACAUCAUAAUCUUAUUUCCCUUCCUUCCUCAUUCUCAUUUAUUCUCAUUUAAUCUAUGUCCAUACUUUGUCCUCUCUAUUUUUCUGCACCUUUUCCUUUACUCUUCCUCCUCUCCUCCUCCAACUGCCAGUGUUUGUUUGGAGUCAGUCAUUAAGCAGAAGACACCCCAUGUAGAGGGAGAAAUAGAGGAAGUGCAUCUGAAAAAAAUCACAAGAAAGUAACACUCGAUAAUACAGCUGUAAUUAAAUUGAAUAUCAGUGUAUUUUAUUUGAAAUUACAAUGUAAUUAUAGUUACAACUGUAAGUAAGGUUAUAAUGAUACUAGAAUUUCAAACUACUACAAAAAGAACCCAGGAAAAUACUCCAUACCCAAUAACAUUUUUGAUACCAUUGGGACGAUUUUGACCUCAUCCUGCAACAACAGAAGGAAUGACUCAAUAUUCUAUCCUUGAUUUGCAGUCUGCUAGCCGCUAAGUUAAUGAUAACAGGUGGUUAAUGUGGCUAUCGGGUAGCUGCUAACAGUUGAACGCCUAACGUUAACGUGUGCGACUUCAAGGUGACAUUUAUAAUGACUGUCUAAUACUUCAGUGUCAUUGAAAUGAGAGCCGUGGUGACCUCUUUAAAAUUAUUUUAAAGUUUUCUUCAGUGUUAUGAAUGUUAAUUUCUUCAAGUGUUAGCGGGGAGAAGAGCUGUGUGCCUGUUUGUAUGCAAUGGUGCACUCUGAAGUACUGUGCCAGGUGGAGGAGGUGACAAGGACACUGUUUAUAUUGAUAUUCUUGCAAAUUAAUAUCAAAUUCGAAAAUAACUUUAGUGUCAAACAAUAUCUGAGUAUCGGUUUUCUUUGACAUCCCUAAAUGUAAGUAAAUUUAAGUAGUGCGUAAUUAAUUUUAAAGUAACCUACUGCAUAAUAUCCUGGUAAUUUAGCAGAAAAACAGACAAUAUUUCCCCAUCUUAGAUACAGGGGCUUUUCAGGCUUUUACAGUAUACUUAAAGUAUAGCUGGAAAUUAGACAAGAUGGAGCCACUCCAUAAUACAGCCCACGCCCCAAAAAGUACAGCAUACGUACAAUGUGAAAGAGAAUUUCAGCUAAAAUACAGUUAAAUUCCAUUUAAUUACACCCUUAGGGCCAGGCCAUUCUGGGACAAUGUCCUUCAGAUAGAGAUGAUUGCCCAUAGUGCACGUUUGGCACAGCAUAUUAACAGAAACACCUCAUGUCAAAUAUCAAACACUGACAUGAAGAAGUGAUGAAGCCACAGGAUCUGGGCACCCUGCAGCCAUUAAGCUGACCGUGAGCUCUUCUGUAUUCUAGAUUCAAAUAUGAGGCCAUCUGUCCAACAGCUAAAGCUUGGUCCAGACUGAGUUUUCCAGUGGGACAAAUAUUCCAAGUAAAACAGCAAAUCUACAACAGAAUGGCCGAAGAAGAAAAGAACUGAGGUGCAACAAUGACCCAGUCACAUUCAAGACCUCAGUUGGAUUAAGAUGCUGUGCUGGGACUUUAAGAUAGCUGCGCAUAAAGUGUUACUGUUCGUGCGCAUUAAUCAGUCGUAGCUUUUAUCCUACGCUAAGGAGAUACACCACCAUUCAAAUUCACUGAAGUAUGUAUGUAGCUGAAGGGGCCGUGGCAAGUUGUUGGACCUUUGAUGCAUUUAGACAAGUGAACAUUUGAAAGAGUACCUACAGAAAAAAAGGAAAGAGGAAAAGUGUGUAGAGAAUGAAUACACCUCCUGCACUCAAACAACAACAUCCGUUACUAUACACGAUGAGUCUGAUAUCCUUAAAUGGAAGAUGCACUUCCUUCUGGAUUACAAGAAACUGCUGAACCCUCGUGCUAUCAGUACAUCUUGUUUGCGAAUGUUACUGUAAGUUGCAUUUCAUAGGGAUCGAUAUGUUCUUUGCAUAAGUGAGCUCUUUUGCGUAAGUCGAAAUUAGCGUAAUAACUCAUGGUUGUUACAAAUCAGAGAUGAGGUGUUCGGUACUAAACUGAACUGCUGAUGACUUUCAGCAUUACGUACUCUAUUAAUUCAGUAAAGCUGCUAAAAGCAUUAGGAGGAGAGCCCGAAACAUAAACAGCAGGAUGGACUGCCACUGUUUCCUUUAGCAGAUUUGUAAUUCUUAUCAAUUUCCUGUCUUGUGCUAUCUGAUCCCUUACUAUUGACAUCUAUUAUUCUGGUGAUCUAACACUGUGCAAUGGACUGCCGGCUAAAACUCAGCAGGCUAAAGCUUGUAAUAGCCAUGGGGGAAAAAAAUCAUUACAUUAGAACCAUUAAGGAGAUUAUUCAUUAAUGAACAGGAUUCAACAGGAGAUUCUACUGAAAUUACACCAACAUUAAACCAAAUAAAGUAUAUAACUGUCAC